ensembl:lncRNA
UCUCCAUCGUCCGGCGUGAGCAGCAAACAGGCCUGCAACAAGUGUGAAUGGUUCAUUUCUCUCUCAACCCGGAGAAUGGAAAGAGACGACAAGGAAGACACAAAAUAACAUUGAGGAGGACUUUCCUUGAAGAUUUACGCUCGGUCGAACUGUCAUGGGAUGAAGCAACAACUGCCACGACGGACCGGGUUCGAUGGCGUCCCCUUGUCACCCGAUGUGCUGAUCGGCGCGGGAGGAUCUAAGUCUAAGUCUAAGAACAGGAAGUGAUACUCUACCACAGAGCGAGCGAACACCACGUGACAGCGCCACCAACAGCAGAAAUCAGCUCAAGCAUUGCCCAUAUACACACACAGUUACUGUCCCUCCAUUUAGAAAGGCAGAGGCGUCAGAGUGAACUUCUACAUUCAACACAGAUGCUCUCACA